rnacentral:lncRNA from 1 species
AUAUCAAAUUUCAGAAUCAUAUCUUAAAAACACAGCUCAGCAUAAAUUGGGGAAAAACACGUUUCUGGCCUACAACAUUUUCCAGUGGUGCUGUUUUUUUUAUUUGGUCAUCUAAUUCUAGUGCUAUUCUUAGGAUUCUUUUGUGUGCCUACCUUUAUUUUGGUACCUUUUAUUUGCUUGCUUAAUAUUUCUUGGACCUCUUUCUAGUUGUCAUAAUCUAACUCCUUUUGGUGGUACUGUUUUAUUCAAUUAAAUUGUUUCUUGCUUUUGUUCUUUGACCUCUAAUUUGGUGCUGGAAUUUAUUUCUCCUUUGGUGCUUAAUUGAAUGGAAACUUGACUUGGGUAAGGUCUAGUCUUUUGAUAGGUGCUGGAAUUGGAGAAUUAAAACCUUCAUUCUAAGGGGAAACAAAGCCAAGGCCGAAACAAGCUUUCUUGAAAAACACUACAAACAUUUGGAGGGCCAACAAGCAAAGACAACAAGGAAGUGCAUUUAGCAAAAAGAGGAUCAACAAAG